GCGUUUGUGGUUUAGUGGUAAAAUCCAUCGUUGCCAUGUGACUGUGUCUGAGCGAUCAGAGCACCAGUCUCAGCGUCGAUGGGCCCCGGGUUCGAUUCCCGGCGAACGCA